AGGCUUCGAAAUGGAAGUGGUUAAAAUAGAAUAUGCUGGUCAUGCAAGAGAACUUGCUACCACUAUAGAAAUCAGCACCUACCCUGAUGGAAUAGUAUGUGUUGGAGGAGAUGGCAUUGUGAAUGAGGUACUUAAUGGUCUUCUGAGCAGAGAUAACCAGAAGGAAGCACUUUCUAUUCCAAUUGGCAUCAUUCCUGCUGGUUCAGACAAUUCACUAGUCUAGACUAUUUUGGGGGUCA